AGAAGGCCUGAUGUGUGUGAGAUUACCCGCUGAAUUUAAGCAUAUAAGUAAGC
rnacentral:rRNA from 5 species